AGUCACGAGUUUUGGCACUUUUGUGGCGAACAUUUUCACCGUCGUUAUCAUGAUUGGGUUGAACCUCAGACUGUUCUUCAUCGCUAAAUUUCAGCUAGGACGCGAACCGCCGAGCGCGGAACGCGACAACAAGCGCGCGUCCAUUUAUCUAAUCAUAAUAGUAGCCGUGUGUUUUCUGAUCGCGUGGUUGCCCCUUUUUCUUCAUGUUAUUGUGUGUAAUUUCGCGGGGUCUACGUGCUAUACGUUCAGAAAUGAGGGUUCAGACCCCCUGCGCAUUUUGCCACGGGUGAAUGCAGUUCUGACCCCUUUAUUGUAUAUCAGAGGCUGUUCAGCACUAUGGAGCACACUACUAAGUAAAGUCUGGAGACCCGCGUGCUGCAAGAGGAAAGGUGUGAACCCUCUGUCCAUGGAGAAGAAUGGAGCUGCCGUUUUCAAGACGUGAUUUCACAAGCCAAGGCAGUAAAGGAAAAGAGUUUAAAAGAUCAAGUGCCAUUCUUGAUGUUUUCUGGUUUCUGAAAUAACAAUACAGUCACAUUUAUAUCACAAGAUAUUUCAGAUAUUUCUGUGAUAUUAAAGGCUAUAUCACAGAUAGGCCUGGCAGGGACGUGGGUGGCAGGCCUCCCAGUUUUGGGAAAACUUCAAAUUGUCAAUAUUCUUUGAGAGAGAUAUUUUUAUGCCUCCUUCCCCAUUCGACAUUAAUAUGCAAUAUUCUACAUGAAAUGGAAAUAAAAAAUGAAUUUACAUGCAUCUUUGAUAGAUUUAAUUGUCUGAGAAAUGGAACUCUUGCUGCUAUCAGAAUAAUUUAUUAAUAAAUUCCACAUGGCAUUGUGA